rnacentral:rRNA from 1 species
CUACGGGGCGCAGCAGUGAGGAAUAUUGCACAAUGGGGGGAACCCUGAUGCAGCAACGCCGCGUGGAGGAUGACGCAUUUCGGUGUGUAAACUCCUUUUAUAUGUCAAGAAAAUGACGGUAGCAUAUGAAUAAGCACCGGCUAACUCCGUGCCAGCAGCCGCGGUAAUACGGAGGGUGCAAGCGUUACUCGGAAUCACUGGGCGUAAAGGACGCGUAGGCGGGUUGGAAAGUCAGGUGUGAAAUCCUACAGCUUAACUGUAGAACUGCACUUGAAACUUCUAAUCUAGAGUAUGGGAGGGGAGAUGGAAUUAGUGGUGUAGGGGUAAGAUCCGUAGAUAUCACUAGGAAUACCUAAAGCGAAGGCGAUCUCCCGGAACAUUACUGACGCUAAGGCGUGAAAGCGUGGGGAGCAAACAGGAUUAGAUACCCUCGUAGUC